rnacentral:rRNA from 1 species
UACGUAGGGGGCAAGCGUUGUCCGGAAUCAUUGGGCGUAAAGCGCGUGUAGGCGGCUUGGUAAGUCCGCUCUGAAAGCCCGGGGCUCAACCCCGGGAGGCGGGUGGAUACUGUCAAGCUCGAGUCCGGAAGAGGCGAGUGGAAUUCCUGGUGUAGCGGUGAAAUGCGCAGAUAUCAGGAGGAACACCAAUGGCGAAGGCAGCUCGCUGGGACGUGACUGGCGCUGAGACGCGAAAGCGUGGGGAGCAAACAGG